GGCUGAGUCAGAGGCACAGAAUUAGGCCCGAUUGAAGAUGGGGGUAGGAUCUGUUCUGUGUUCUUCUGUCAGCCUGGC
rnacentral:miRNA from 1 species